CACGUAGGGGGCAAGCGUUGUCCGGAUUUAUUGGGCGUAAAGAGCUCGUAGGCGGCUUAGUAAGUCGGGUGUGAAACCUCCAGGCUCAACCUGGAGACGCCACCCGAUACUGCUGUGGCUAGAGUCCGGUAGGGGAGCAUGGAAUUCCUGGUGUAGCGGUGAAAUGCGCAGAUAUCAGGAGGAACACCAGUGGCGAAGGCGGUGCUCUGGGCCGGAACUGACGCUGAGGAGCGAAAGCGUGGGGAGCAAACAGG
rnacentral:rRNA from 1 species